rnacentral:rRNA from 1 species
AUUGAACGCUGGCGGCAGGCCUAACACAUGCAAGUCGAGCGAGCGGCGGACGGGUGAGUAAUGCCUGGGAAACUGCCUGAUGGAGGGGGGUAACUACUGGAAACGGUAGCUAAUACCGCAUACCAUCAGAUGUGCCCCGAUGGGAUUGGCUAGUAGGGGGGGUAACGGCUCACACAGGCGACGAUCCCUAGCUGGUCUGAGAGGAUGACCAGCCACACUGGAACUGAGACACGGUCCAGACGCCUACGGGAGGCAGCAGUGGGGAAUAUUGCACAAUGGGCGCAAGCCUGAUGCAGCCAGGCCGCGUGGGUGAAGAAGGCCUUCGGGUUGUAAAGCACUUUCAGCGGGGAGGUGUUACCCGCAGAAGAAGCACCGGCUAACUCCGUGCCAGCAGCCGCGGUAAUUC